GACGAACCGUGCGAACGUUAUUCGGAAUCACUGGGCUUAAAGCGCGUGUAGGCGGGCCGGCACGUCGGUCGCUGAAAUCCCCCGGCUCAACCGGGGAAGGGGCGCCGAUACGACCGGCCUGGAGGGGGGUAGGGGGCGCCGGAACUCACGGUGGAGCGGUGAAAUGCGUUGAGAUCGUGAGGAACGCCCGUGGCGAAAGCGGGCGCCUGGACCCCGCCUGACGCUGAGACGCGAAAGCCAGGGGAGCAAACGGG
rnacentral:rRNA from 1 species